GGCGGAUGCGUAGCUCAGCGGGAGAGCACCUCGUUGACAUCGAGGGGGUCACAGGUUCAAUCCCUGUCGCGCGACGCCA
rnacentral:tRNA from 1 species